rnacentral:rRNA from 1 species
ACGGAAGGCAGCAGUGGGGAAUAUUGCACAAUGGGCGCAAGCCUGAUGUAGCGAUGCCGCGUGAGGUAAGAAGGUUUUCGGAUUGUAAACCUCUGUCAACAGGGACGAAAAUGACGGUACCUGUGAAGGAAGCUCCGGCUAACUACGUGCCAGCAGCCGCGGUAAUACGUAGGGAGCAAGCGUUAUCCGGAAUUACUGGGUGUAAAGGGAGUGUAGGCGGGACUGUAAGUCAGAUGUGAAAUAUGCCGGCUCAACUGGCAGACUGCAUUUGAAACUGCGGUUCUUGAGUGAAGUAGAGGUAAGCGGAAUUCCUAGUGUAGCGGUGAAAUGCGUAGAUAUUAGGAGGAACACCGGUGGCGAAGGCGGCUUACUGGGCUUUUACUGACGCUGAGGCUCGAAAGCGUGGGGAGCAAACAGGAUUAGAUACCCUGGUA